ACACAACCGUAGAAGACACGCCCCUAUUUAAAUGUAUUUCUCUACUCCUACAAGAGGAGUCUGUGGGCGUGAUGGUUGGGCGGUAGGUCGUUCGUUCGUCGCUCCCCCUUCGCUCCCUCCCGCAUACAUGUACGUGGCCAAGAAAAUCCUCUGCCAUGAUCCUCAUAAUAACUACAGAAUAUCCUUCCUCGAUUCUCGCUUUCCUUUCCCAAGACCAUGGUCCCUUCAUCCCUUCUCCCUCCCGCAACUCCCUCAGAUUUUCUUCCGCCACUCCUCUCCUCUUCGGGCCUCUACCUAGGUUCCUCAGCUUCGUGCCCCUAGAAAUCAAAGGCGGCGACUGAGGGUAGUCACAUCGAGGAGCCGUACUUGGGAGAAGUGGGAUGUUCCCGAAAAAAAUCCUUGGAUCUCUCUUGCACACGCCAAUGGCAUCGGUGAACACUGGUGAGAGGCAGGUAGAAUUGAUGCCGGAGUCUAGGGCCACCGUCUCAUAGGUCAUCUUUGACAUGGACAAUCUUAUCUUAUACUACACGGUAGUUGCGACGUAAUUCUCCUUGUCGCACCUUAUUUUGUUUCUUCUUGGCUUUAUUCAGAUGCGGCAGAACGUGCGGCGUACGGCGGGAUCAAGAGGAUGGAUCUCGAGGACGGGCAGGCGGCGGCCGUCAUGCGAGAGGAGCCUGCUCGCAGGGUGCUGCGACGUUGACAAGCUGGGGCUCGAUACUGGGGCGCUCCGCUUCCUGGCGCACCUAUUCGUGUUCCACGGCCACAGAAGUGUACCGGUACUGAAGCACCUUGCGACGCGUUUGGUUCGAGCAGAGGUAAAGUAUUCAGUAUUGCAAUGAGAAUAUAGUGUAUUAAAUCAGGGACAAGCGAAUACGUUAUGUGUUUGGUUCAUGCAAGGGAAGAGGAAACAGUGUCACCUCCGCCGGCCAUGUAGAAGAUGCCCACUGAGGGACGACGACUUGCGAUGAGAAACGAGACCAGCAACUGCUCACAGCGGCGCUACUGCUCACGGCGGUGAAGGGAGAUUGGCAGCACUGCUUACGUCGACGACGGUGAUGGGAGAUUGGCAGCGCUGCUACUCUAACAGAGGCCGCGAAUUGAUACGACGGUGGUGCUGCUCACGGAGGCGGCAAACUGAUACGACGGCGUUGUUUCUCAUGGCGGAGGAGGAUCACCGGCGGUUCUAUUCAUGGUGGAGGUGGUUUGCUGGCACUGCUGCCUGGUCCUCGGUGGUGAAGAAAACGAUCCGAAAGAGUGGAGGUGUUAUUCAAUACCGGGUUGUACCGUGUGUUUCAGUUUUAUGAAGAAUGGUUUGCGAUUACACGGUAUUUGAAACCUUCUUUUCACACACUGAGCCUUGUGAUCUGAUGGUAUGUCGCUUCUGUGUUCUUGCGCAGGUGUCGAACUACACUACUAGCACAGGCUGCACCUUGUCUUUAGCAAAGACGGAAAGCCUGCUAAUUAAUGAUACAGGGAGAUGAACGAUGUGGAUAUGAAGUAGUGGGUUGUGCUUUUCUGCAGUAAAUGCAUUUAGAGAUUAGAUGGCUUACUCCAAAGACAAGCAACUAAUCUUGUUGAUGGGAUUGCUGCGCAGAUUCAUGCAUCGUGCUCUUCCGUGGUAAGGAGCCUGUGGCUCUCUCAAGUCUCAACUGAUCAGAAGCAGGGACAAGUAAAUACGUUAUGUGUUUGCUUCCUCUGUUUCAAAAGGAUGUCGUUUGAGCGGCAAGUAAUUUCGGGCGAAGGGAGUACUUAACAUAAAACAUUAGCAGAUGAACGGUGUGACAUGCAAAAUAAAUAUCCGUAUGUUAUGUUGAUAUUUUUUAGAUAUUCAAAGUUUUGCACUUCGUUGAACUCUUAGAACUACUAUCAGUUGGCGGUAAUAUGUGACAUGUAUUAUUUUGGUGCAAGUCAUGCAGAAGCAUUCCUUGACAACUGCAUCAUCUAGAAUUUCAAAUGGACAACAUUACUACAGUAUUUCCAGUGUACAUGCUUAACUAUACAUAGUUUGAUGUGCUCAUGAAACUUACGAGACUCUCAUAAGUACAAAUUGGUAUUCUAAAUUUGUAAUAUAGUAUAGCAAAUAUUUUAGGAUUAUGUCAACUUUAUAGCCAAGGCAUGAUAUAUUAAGAUGUAGGCGGAGCAGUUAUGUAGUUGGAAAUUUCAGAACAUGACUGCUAGCAUGAUGAUAAAAAUAAAUGCUAAUAAUCAAACAGACAACACGAAAGGAGGAAUAGCAUCGGAAACAUAUGGUUCACUGAUUUAUGAUUUAUCGGUUAUAUAUUAGACAAGGAUGUAGUUGAUCAACUUAAGCAGUAAUGGAGUUCCACAGGUUAUGCAUCAGGAAGAGAUGGUCCUUUGGUCCCUGAUUUUUCCAAUAUUAGAUAAGGAUGUAGUUGGUCAACUUAGGCAGUAGUAGAUUUCUAUAGGCCUGAGAUUUAAAUAUUUCACUAAUCACACUUUAGAGGCUUCUAUAACUUUUCAAAUAUAAAAUAUUCAAAAGUCCAAUAAGUAUGUGACACCUUUUACAGAAAAUAUAUUGUAGUCGGUAGUGCAAUAAACCUGUAAUAGCUUUCUUAAAAUCGCGUUCAGCACUCAUGCCAGAACUAUUUUUUUCAUGUGUGUGUACUAUUUCUACAUAUACUUCGAGAAAAAUACUACUUGUCAUGCAGAUCCAUCUUUGUGCUUAUUACUGCUUCUUCCUCCUGAAUCGAGACCCAUAUAUAUCCUGCUAUGACAUUCAAUUUUCCAUAUUCCAUUUGAAGUAUUAACCAUUUUAUGAAUAUAUGCCAUCCUUCUAGGUGAAAUAUUGUUGGUCAAAGGCCUCCCGCGAAAUAAGAAAAUAUCGAGUCCGUUUUUUCGUAAAAGCAUGUGCAUCAAAUGAUGCACAUACCCAUAAAACAUUGAAUUCUUGGUACGAGCAAGAGAUCUUGUUCACCUCGCCAUUUGAUUAUUCUCUAAGAGUUUAUUUGGGACAUGGUAUAUAUAAAGUUGCUUGUGUAGUAAACAUGAUUUAUGGUACAAAUUGUCAUGCAACGAGCUUCCUUCUAGAGUAAUAUUUAAUGAUUAUAUUAUCUUUUUAGUUUGUUGUUGGAUAACCAUUGGCAGCGGCUAAGUUUGCAAAGGAAACCUUUUGAAGAUGGCACCAUUAUAUUUUUUCCAAUUGUCCUUGUAAUUUUGAGUUUAUGUGUAAACUUGAGUUAGCUUAGAGUUCUUUAUUAAACUCACAGAAAGCUUUUGUGUUGGUCCAAAUAAAAUGAGCAUAAAACAAGAACUGAGGACCAACUAUAAUUAAAGGCCUUAUGCUGAAUUUAACUGAGGAACAUUGCCAAUUCAUUCAAAAUAGUACGAAACUGAUCUUACAUGUUUUUUUAAAAGAAGACAAAUUUGAUCCCAUUACUUAGCUAUAGACAAGUGUCAAAGCUAAUAUUAGUAUUCACGGUAGUUCCAGCUGCUUAGUUAGUAGCAAUAUCUCCGUCUAAUGUGAUCUUCGAUCACUUUGUAGUUCACAUAUAGCAUUUUAUAUCGAAAAGAUCAUCCAUUUAUUGCCGAGUGAAUGGAACAAUGCAUGUGUAAUAAUAACUAAAUAAAUGAAAGGUAUUUGCUGGGCAGAUGAUCACAUGUUUUCGCCAAUAUAUAAUAUAUAUAAGUGAUGCAUUACUAUGCUAAAUUGCUUUAUAAUUUUAUUCCUUUUUGCAGAUCUAGGUCAGCUGGUUGGUCAGAGGAAGAAAGCAUAAUGCAUGAAUGAAAGUGGAGAGGACAAAGAAAGAUGUGUGGAUUCUCAUAGUUGAAGUAAGUAAGUAUUAUGGGGAUUCUCAUAGUUGGUGAAAAUAAAUAUUAUGCGGAUUCUCAUGGUUGGAGUUAAUAACGGACACAGUGGCGUAUUAGUUGUUUGCCCAACAACGGACAUCAUAUUGUUAUUUCAUGGUAAUACACGACAUUCAACUGUAUAUGUUACAACGUGGCAAUGGCCCGGGAGGCAUUGGAUCUACCGUCUUGGCUAAGGGGGCGUCACGAGUGGGGAGGGGAUCAGCGGGGAGAGCCAGGUGGUUGGCGGGGGACUCCUCGUUCACGAUCCAUGUGGAAGUACGUUGACAAUUCAUGGGAAAGUACUAUGUGAAGUACCGUUGGUGCUAUGGCGAAGAUAAAGUGGCUGUCAUCCAGUUUAAAACGGAAAGGUUUACAUGAAGAGGGAGAAUGCCGGCAACUGCGAUUCUGGGCUGGAAAAGGAGCAAAUAUUAGAGACCUAUUCUGCACAGCUCCAAAAGUUAUGAAACUCCAU